UGCGGGAUGGUGUAAUGGUAGCACGCUGCUCUCUGGAAGCAGAGAUUGGGGUUCGAGUCCCUGUCCCGCAG
rnacentral:tRNA from 1 species